UUUUAUUUGAGAGUUUGAUCCUGGCUCAGGAUGAACGCUGGCGGCGUGCCUAACACAUGCAAGUUGAGCGAUUUACUUCGGUAAAGAGCGGCGGACGGGUGAGUAACGCGUGGGUAACCUACCCUGUACACACGGAUAACAUACCGAAAGGUAUGCUAAUACGGGAUAAUAUAUUUGAGAGGCAUCUCUUAAAUAUCAAAGGUGAGCCAGUACAGGAUGGACCCGCGUCUGAUUAGCUAGUUGGUAAGGUAACGGCUUACCAAGGCGACGAUCAGUAGCCGACCUGAGAGGGUGAUCGGCCACAUUGGAACUGAGACACGGUCCAAACUCCUACGGGAGGCAGCAGUGGGGAAUAUUGCACAAUGGGCGAAAGCCUGAUGCAGCAACGCCGCGUGAGUGAUGAAGGCCUUCGGGUCGUAAAACUCUGUCCUCAAGGAAGAUAAUGACGGUACUUGAGGAGGAAGCCC
rnacentral:rRNA from 1 species